GCGUUUGUGGCUCAGUUGGAUUAGAGCGGCGGCCUCCGAAGCCGCAGGUCGCGCGUUCGAAUCGCGCCAAACGCA
rnacentral:tRNA from 1 species